rnacentral:rRNA from 1 species
AGUGAACGCUGGCGGUAGGCCUAACACAUGCAAGUCGAACGGCAGCACAGUAAGAGCUUGCUCUUACGGGUGGCGAGUGGCGGACGGGUGAGGAAUACAUCGGAAUCUACUUUUUCGUGGGGGAUAACGUAGGGAAACUUACGCUAAUACCGCAUACGACCUACGGGUGAGAGCAGGGGAUCUUCGGACCUUGCGCGAUUGAAUGAGCCGAUGUCGGAUUAGCUAGUUGGCGGGGUAAAGGCCCACCAAGGCGACGAUCCGUAGCUGGUCUGAGAGGAUGAUCAGCCACACUGGAACUGAGACACGGUCCAGACUCCUACGGGAGGCAGCAGUGGGGAAUAUGGGACAAUGGGCGCAAGCCUGAUCCAGCCAUACCGCGUGGGUGAAGAAGGCCUUCGGGUUGUAAAGCCCUUUUGUUGGGAAAGAAAAGCAGCAGGUUAAUACCCCGCUGUUCUGACGGUACCCAAAGAAUAAGCACCGGCUAACUUCGU